GGAUUAGAUACCCUGGUAGUCCACGCCGUAAACGAUGGUCACUAGCUGUUUGGUUUUAGGACUGAGUGGCUAAGCGAAAGUGAUAAGUGACCCACCUGGGGAGUACGUUCGCAAGAAUGAAACUCAAAGGAAUUGACGGGGGCCCGCACAAGCGGUGGAGCAUGUGGUUUAAUUCGAUGAUACGCGAGGAACCUUACCAGGGCUUAAAUGUAGUCUGACAGGGCAAGAGAUUGCUUUUUCUUCGGACAGAUUACAAGGUGCUGCAUGGUUGUCGUCAGCUCGUGCCG
rnacentral:rRNA from 1 species